UAACAUGCCGACCACUAACGCAAGGGUUGAUAAAUAAAUGUUCAUGUUAUUCAAUCAUUUCAUCCAAACUGCUCGCCAGGCGCUAAAAUAAAAACCUGUUCUAAUUUUGAGGGUUGACGCGCUGCAUGUUCCGCCUCUCCCAUACAGAACCAAUCAGUCGAUAUAAUCGAGAACAUUCAUCAGAAAUGACGCGAUAUGAAUCAGACAGUGGGGAGCCACCUGGCCCACUAGUUGGUCAGAAGGUUCAAAUCAACGUGUCAUAUCGGCAUUUCCGAGUAGGCAAAAAAACAUCAACCACGGAUUUUAUUACACCCCUGUAUGCCACCUUUUAGAAGAAAAAGAACCACUCUGGUUUACAGAGACCUGACUAGAGGCGGGAUAGCACGUACACCCCUGCCACUCUUCCUGGGGUCCAGCCAAAUUAAGGCAGUUUAUACAAUUUUAAAAGCAUUACAAUACAUUCACAGAUGUCACAACACACUGUGUGCCCUCAGGCCCCUACUCCACCCACCACACAUCUCCAGUGCCCUCCACUAAUAUUGGCACCCAUGGUAAAUAUGAGCAAAACGGGCUGUGAAUUUAUUUUCUUUGCUGUUUAUCCUCUUGGUCUUUCAUUCAAAAAUAUUCACAAAAAUUGAACCUUUUAAUUGAAGUCAAAUGAUUGAAAUAAAUGUAUGCAAAAUAAAUUAAAUAUUUUUUUACAAAAACAUGUUUGCCACAAUUAUUGGCACUCCAAGAAGUUCUUAUGAGUAAAUUCUAACUGAAGUAUAUUCCUAUUCAUUUUUUACGUUUUUAAAGUUCACCUGAGUGAUUAGGAACACUUAAGUGGUAAGCCAUGACUUCCUGUUUUACUGGGGUAUAAAUAUGACGAGACACACAGGCCAAGUUCCCAUAGUCAUCCUUCACUAUGGGAAAGACCCAUAGUCUAGAGAAUACAGUAAUGAUUUGCAACAAAGGUUGUUGAGCUGCACAAAUCAGGAAAUGGCUAUAAGAAAAUAGCUCAAAGGUUGAAAAUGCCCAUUUCCACUAUCAAGGCAAUAAUUAAGAAGUUUAAAACAACUGGAGAUGUUAACAAUCGGCCUGGAAGAGGACGUGUGUCUAUAUUGACCCCACGCACAGUGAGGAGGAUGGUUAGAGUGGUCAAAUAAUCUCCAAGGAUCACAGCUGGAGAAUUGCAGACGUUAGCUGGGUCAUGGGGUCAGAAAAUCUCCAAAACUACGAUCAGACACCAACUACAUAACCACAAGUUGUUUAGGAGGGUUGUCAGACGUUAGCUGGGUCAGAAAAUCUCCAAAACUACGAUCAGACACCAACUACAUAACAACAAACUCAAGCGCCUACAAUUUGCCAAACGUUACUGGAACUUUCAAUGGGAACGAACGGGUUCUAUGGUCAGAUGAGACCAAAAUAGAGCUUUUUAGAAACAAACACCAGAGGUGGCUUUGGCAUGGACAGAAAGAUAGCUAUGCAGAAAAGUACCUCAUCCCCACUAUGAAGUAUGGUGGUGGAUCUUUGAUGUUGUGGGGCUGUUUUUCUUUCAAAGGCCCUGGACAACUUGUUACGAUUCAUGGUAUCAUAGACUCCAUCAAGUACCAGCAGAUAUUACAUCAAAAAAUGACUGCCUUUGCUAGGAAGUAAAAUAAUAUUUGAAAGAUAAAUACACAGAGGACGAGAGGACUAGAAUUAACGAUCAAUAGGAGUUGGUUUUCAGUUCAACAGCUGUUUAGAAUCUGUGGAAUGUCAGUCCUGGACUCAGCUACGUGUGCCACGUUUUCAUUGGUCUGUACAUUGAGUCUGGGGCAGGAUACUUGUUAUUUGGCAAUUGGCCCAGUUGUACUGCAAGGACUUCUGAUUGGUCAACCCCAGGCUAGGGUCGGGGGUUAUAAAUGACAUCCUGUUCCUUUGUUUUGAAAAGCUGAGGACAAGGGAGACUGAACAUCUACCUCCCAGCAUAAUAUCUAUGAUUUGUCCUUCUUAAAAAAAAUACAUUUUCUCCCCAGGGACCUCCCGGGUGUCGCAGUGGUUAAGGGCGCUGUACUGCAGCGCCAGCUGUGCCACCAGAGACUCUGGGUUCGUGCCCAGGCUCUGUCGUAACCAGCCGCGACCGGGAGGUCCGUGGGGCGACGCACAAUUGGCAUAGCGUCGUCCGGGUUAGGGGGGGUUUGGCCAGACUUAAGGAAUUCCGGAAGGAAGAUAUUGUAUUUUACAUUGGAACUCAAACCGUACAUGACCUGAGCCCUAGGACCAUGCCCCAGGACUACCUGACA